rnacentral:rRNA from 1 species
AUUGAACGCUGGCGGCAGGCCUAACACAUGCAAGUCGAGCGGAUGAAGAGAGCUUGCUCUCUGAUUUAGCGGCGGACGGGUGAGUAAUGCCUAGGAAUCUGCCUGGUAGUGGGGGAUAACGUUCCGAAAGGAACGCUAAUACCGCAUACGUCCUACGGGAGAAAGCAGGGGACCUUCGGGCCUUGCGCUAUCAGAUGAGCCUAGGUCGGAUUAGCUAGUUGGUGAUGUAAUGGCUCACCAAGGCGACGAUCCGUAACUGGUCUGAGAGGAUGAUCAGUCACACUGGAACUGAGACACGGUCCAGACUCCUACGGGAGGCAGCAGUGGGGAAUAUUGGACAAUGGGCGAAAGCCUGAUCCAGCCAUGCCGCGUGUGUGAAGAAGGUCUUCGGAUUGUAAAGCACUUUAAGUUGGGAGGAAGGGUUGUAGAUUAAUACUCUGCAAUUUUGACGUUACCAACAGAAUAAGCACUGGCUAACUUCGUGCCAGCCGCCGCGGUAAGAC